rnacentral:lncRNA from 1 species
CCUGUGUGCUGAUGUGGAACGCUUUUCAUCACUUUCUACAUUAAAUUUUCCUCUAGCACACCCCUGUAAUUCCAGCACUCUGGAAGGCUGAGGCAGGAGAAGCACAAGUUUGAGCCCAGCAUGGGCAACUUAGCCAGACUCUGCCUCAAAAAGGAGUGCUUUAGGAAAAUGUAGCUCAAUGAAAGGCUUUGGGUCCAGUUCCCAUUAUCAAAGGGGUGAAAAAAAUGAAAAAGAAAGAAAAAAAGAGAGAGAGAAAGGAGAGGAGCAAAAAGGAGGAAACAAAAAUAAAAAGGGAGAGGUCUGUGCUUCUGAAUUUCACGUGAUCUGAGCACUUUCGAAACAGGCUCUUCUGUCCGAUGUCGCUAGGGUUUCUGAAUGUGCUGUGCCUGCCUGUUGGCACAGCUGGGUGGCAUUUCAGGAAAUUGGUGAUCCCGCUGAUCUACUGGGAAUCAAGAAGUGAACCGAGGGAGGAGGAGGAGGAGGAGGAGCUUGUGAGAGCUCCAGAGAACAAUGGAAAAGAAAAUGAAACUCUACUCAGAAGAAGAGAAGGGAAGAAACCUAGAGGGGAACACUGGGUCGAAUGGAGUUUCUGAUUGUUUCUGCAUGGUUGAUAGCGUGGACAGCGUUAAGGGUCCAGCCCGCAUGAUCUCCUCAGGCAGAAGGUGAGCUAGUGUUCAGAAGUUACUCUCCCACCAGAAACUGCUGAGCUGGGGCACCAGGCACCAGGCUCCAGGUUUCCACCGGGCUGUUGGAGUGGGGCCAACCUUGUGGACAGCCUCACUCGUGGCUUGCUAGGAGUGACUGUUCAAUCACUUUCUUCCCCUGGGUAGAGGAGUAGAUGACAGUGGUUUCCUAGGCCUUCUGUCCCCAGGGAAGUAUAGUUAGAUCAACACAGAGAGAGUCUGGGGAACUUUGCAUUUCUGUACAACUCCAAGGCUAGAAGUUGUAUAAAUAUCAUUACGGUUGUGGGCUUGCAUAUUUAUUAUCACAUCAUUUAGAAACAGUGAGACGGAGGAAACAUUUAUGUAAAGUUUAAAAACAGGGAAAACAAUCCCAUAGCUGGUGAGAGGCAUACAUUUAAAGUAAGAGGAUACAUGAGGAUGUAUAAGGUUAAGAUGACAGAAACAAGACGGGGAUAAUAAAUACAAGGUUCACUGAAUACAGGGUUACCUCUGUGGGUUGGGGUGGAACUUCUGGUUGUAUUUGUGUUAUUUUGUAGUCCAAAUGUUAACCACGAUGGUAUUUCCUACACUACAUUCUAUAUUCUUCUACAUGUCUGAAAUAUUUAAUAAUAAUUUUUUUUGUUCUUCUGAGACAGGGUCUCACUCUCUAGUUCAGUUUGGCCUUGAACUCACUCGAUCCUCCUGCCUCUGCUUCUCGAGUGCUGGGAUUAUAGGCGACUGCCACCAUACUUGGCUUCAUACUGACAUUGCUUUUAGUUUUUUGUGAAUUUAAUGAGGUAUAAUUUACAUAUAAUUAAACGUACCGAUUUGGGGCUGGGGUGUAGCUCGGUGGGAGGGCACUUGCCGAGCAUGCGCAAAACUCUGGGUUCAUCAACAACAAAAAGUAUUAAUGUUUUAGGACACAAUUUGGUGCAUCGUGACAAUUCUAUAGCCAUGUAACCGUCUCUCACACUCCUAAAGUAGAACAUUUCUAUCACUCCCCGAAAUUAAAAUAUGAAAUCAGCUGAAAGAUAUUUCUACUUCCACCAAUGACAGUAAUGAAACCUUGGCCAGCUCUUUCGCCCUAAGUGACUCAAGCCAGACAAAACACAUCCAAUACCUGUUGUGCCGGCGACAUGGGCCUCUGACCCUUCAGAGAAAGAAACGGACAAAGUGAGCGCGCCUCUCUGGUUUCUGGCGAGAGCCAGUUUCUGUGCAUUAGGGGCCGCAGGUGAAGCCCCAACCACACGGCCUACUUCCGGCGACCAGGGGUCUACUUCCGGCGGCAGGCGGCCCACUUCCGGUGGCCCACGGAGAGGCUCCUUAGCGGUCUUGAAAUCGCUGGGCAGAUUACCAAAGAGAAAGGAGCCCUGACGAGGAGGAGCUGCAGAGCUCUGCUUAGGACUCCCCGGAGCCUGGCGGGAUUCAAAACUGCUAGGUAGGAGAGACUCCAAGAGGGUCAACUAGCAGGGCAGAG